GCCGGGCACAGUGGCGCGUGCCUGUAAUCCUGCUGUUUGGGAGGCUAAGGCUGAGGGAUUGCUUGAGUCCAGGAGUUCUAGUCUGCCCUGAGCCGUGUCGAUCGGGUGUCCGCACUAAGUUCAGUAUCAAUAUGGUGUUCCUGGGGGAGCUUGGGAUCACCAGGUUGUCUAAAGAGGGGUGAACCGAUCCAGGUCGGAGACGGAGCAGGUCAAAGCCCCCAUGCUGAUCAGUAGUGGGAUAGCACCUGUGAAUGGUCAGUGCAGAACAGCCUGGGUGAUAAUGUGAGACGCAGUCUUUU
rnacentral:SRP_RNA from 1 species